rnacentral:rRNA from 1 species
GCUUUUAUCAAAGGGCGUUUUAUUUUAGAUGGUAUUCUCUCCCUUCAUGAGAUUGUUCAUGACCUUCAUGUGCGGAAAUCCAAAGCCAUUAUCCUCAAGCUAGACUUCGAAAAAGCGUAUGACUCGGUUAGCUGGCCUUUUCUCAGGCAGAUUCUUCUUGCCAAAGGGUUCGACGGUGCUUAUGUUCACCGUAUCAUGCAGUUGGUCUCGGGUGGCCACACUGCAGUUGCCGUAAAUGGUGCUAUUAGCAACUUCUUUGCGAAUGGGAGGGGCCUCCGCCAAGGGGAUCCGGCCUCCCCUGUUCUUUUCAACUUUGUGGCUGACGCCUUCUCCUGUAUGCUCUCCAAAGCGGCUCGAUGUGGUCAUAUUAUCCCUGUGGUUUCU